AUACGGAGGAUGCGAGCGUUAUCCGGAUUUAUUGGGUUUAAAGGGAGCGUAGGCGGGAGCUUAAGUCAGCGGUUAAAUGGUGCGGCUCAACCGUGCUCUGCCGUUGAAACUGGGUUUCUUGAGAGUGCAAGAGGCGGAUGGAAUUCAUGGUGUAGCGGUGAAAUGCUUAGAUAUCAUGAAGAACUCCGAUUGCGAAGGCAGUCCGCUGGGGCACGUCUGACGCUGAUGCUCGAAGGUGCGGGAAUCAAACAGGAUUAGAUACCCUGGUAGUCCGCACGGUAAACGAUGAUUACCCGCUGUCGGCGGUAGACAGUCGGCGGCCAAGCGAAAGCGAUAAGUAAUCCACCUGGGGAGUACGCCGGCAACGGUGAAACUUAAAGGAAUUGGCGGGG
rnacentral:rRNA from 1 species